rnacentral:rRNA from 1 species
AUUGAACGCUGGCGGCAGGCUUAACACAUGCAAGUCGAGCGAGCGGCGGGCGGGUGAGUAGUGUCUGGGAAACUGCGUGAUGGGGGGGGAAAACUACGGAAAACGAUCGCUAAUACCGCAAACCAUCAGAUGUCCACAGGUGGGAUGAGCUAGUGGGUGGGGUAAUGGCUCACCUGGGCGACGCUCCCUAGCUGGUGUGAGAGGAUGACCAGCCACACUGGAACGGAGACACGGUCCAGACUCCUACGGUAGGCAGCAGUGGGGAAUAUUGCACAAUGGGCGCAAGCCUGAUGCAGCCAUGCCGCGUGUGUGAAGAAGGCCUUCGGGUUGUAAAGCACUUUCAGCGGGGAGGCGUUACUCGCAGAAGAAGCACCGGCUAACUCCGUGCCAGCAGCCGCGGUAAUUC